CAAUACAGAAACAGAAGAAUCCCUAGGAGGCUGCUGAUUAUAUUAGAAGCUGAGGUUCCAAUUGAGGCACCUUUUGGUGGCACAAAUUAUUGCCUUCAGUAUAUUAUUGAAAUCCACUAGUAUGAAUCUAAAACAUGUUUACCCACGGAUGCUGGGGCUUCAUGUUGGCACUUUAUGGUCUAUUUGGGUAAUAUGAUUUGAGCACAAUAUUAGAUUGCAUGUUUUUGCUGCUGCUGGGUAAUCUAGGACCUGAUCUGAUCCAAAUUUGACCAAAUAAAUAUAACGAUCGGAUUACAUGUGAACCAACUUAUUUGCUUCUGUAUUCAUUUGUCCAUUUGCACACAUAUAAUGGCUGAUAUACCGCAUGGCUGGCUUCUCCAUUAUGUUCUCUUACUAGUUAUAUGGUUUUUCUUUUCUUUGUUGCUUAUGUCACUCGUACAGGUUCGAGUAAAUGGUUCAGACACAGAGCCAGUUUAUCAAUUUCUUAAAGCAAGCAAAACUGGUAUAUUGGGUUCUCGAAUAAAGUGGAAUUUUACCAAGUUUCUAGUCGAUAAGGAGGGCAAAGUGAUUGGCCGAUAUGGGCCAACAACUGCCCCAUUGUCCAUUGAGAAAGACAUCCAGAAAGCAUUAGGAGAGAUUUAGCAGUCUUCUGUUCAGACUGGGGAGAGAAUGGUCUUCUGUUCAGACUGGUGUACCAUCCUUUGCAUGAAUAUAUAUGCAUACAUUGCUGUUUUGUUCAUAUGACCAUUUGAUCAUUAUUUCGUGCUCUGACUUUUAUUAUUUGCAAAUAGAGUCGCUUUUAUGGGUUUGGUCAUCUUCUUGUGCCUUUUGUCCUAGAGAUGUACAUGUUUGAGUUUGUGAACUGUCAAAUGUCAUUGACCUGCAUUUGGUUUUGGUAUAUUUUGAAAGCAGAAGCCAGUAAAUGGAUGUAAACUGAACCAUAUCCCAGCAUCCAUUGCAUCUUAUUACUGAAUGGGAGUCCCCAAAAAGGUUCUUUCUGAUUCAUUCAGCAUUCAAGCCACGUUUGAUACUUUGGAGCAGUCUACGUUUGAUCCGGGCUGGUGGAACCUGCCAUAUUUCUCAGCAAACAUGCAAACAUGAAGCAUCUUUCCUGCUGUUGUAUAAGAUUUUGCCGAUUUCACCAGCUGCGAGUUCCAUUAUAUUCCGUUUGCUUGGAAAUUGGUUCAAAAUUACUAGUUCAAAACAGUUGGGAGUUCCAUUGCAGAAAAUGUCGAGGCAGUUGCACACAAAAUCUGUUCCACCAAGUAUUUGUAGGGUAUCCACAUUAACAUCAAUGGAUAUCUUUUCAUUGAUACUUCGGCUUUUUUCAGUGCCUGGGUGUUACCAAACAGUGAUCAGAACGUAAGCUUUAAGCAGCAGUUUGGGUUUAAAUUUGCUGAAGAUAACAUUAAGGCCAUAGUAAAAUUUGUUCAUAAUAUUGUCUGAGGCCCUAAUUCAAGCUUUGGGUGCAGCGAGAUAUUGGGGUGCCAGCACGGUUAUUUUGAUGUUUUCUGGCAAGUACUUUCACCUUUUUCAUUGAUAGAAGAUGGAAUCAUCAGGACCGUCUCUGGAAAGGCCCCCAUCAAAUUUAUUGGUGCUGGCAGGAUUCACACAAACCUUCUUUGCCAAUGUCUAAUAUGAUAUCAGACCGAGUCAAGACCGCUCAAUCCAUAUCCGCCCAUGGGUAGACAUUCAUUCAUCUAAUCUUAGAGAUAGAUAAAACUAUUAGAUUCUCCCCUAUUUAUUAUUAUUGAGGUCCGUUCUUAUAGAAUUCAGGUAAUAUUCCUUUUCUACAUAGAAGAGAUUGUAACUUUUUUUAGAUAGUUAUUACUACUAGAAAUAAUCACAAAAAACUAAAAUUUUCUUGGAGUUA